rnacentral:rRNA from 1 species
CCUACGGGCGACAGCAGUGAGGAAUAUUGGUCAAUGGGCGCAAGCCUGAACCAGCCAAGUAGCGUGAAGGAUGACUGCCCUACGGGUUGUAAACUUCUUUUGUACAGGAGUAAAGUGAGACACGUGUGCCUUUUUGUAUGUACUUUAUGAAUAAGGAUCGGCUAACUCCGUGCCAGCAGCCGCGGUAAUACGGAGGAUGCGAGCGUUAUCCGGAUUUAUUGGGUUUAAAGGGUGCGUAGGCGGAUCGUUAAGUCAGUGGUCAAAUUGAGGGGCUCAACCCCGUCCCGCCAUUGAAACUGGCGCUCUAGAGUGGAGUAGAGGUAUGCGGAAUGCGUGGUGUAGCGGUGAAAUGCAUAGAUAUCACGCAGAACCCCGAUUGCGAAGGCAGCAUGCCGGCUUACGACUGACGCUGAGGCACGAAAGCGUGGGGAUCGAACAGGAUUAGAUACCCUAGUAGUC